GUUGCACCUGCAUCACAAACAAGCAGCCAACUACAAUUCCCAGCAGGCCGUGGUCCUGUAAACGCAGCCUCUCCUUGCGUUUAGUGACGAGUGCAUUCUGGAACUUGUAGUCUUUUUUUAAUACUAAGGGCCAGGCUCGAGAUUAUAUGUACAAAACUACUUAGCCAUCUGUACGCCUCUGUCAUCCCGGACUCUUCGUGUUAAGCAAACUCAGUGGAAGAAAUGUAACUUAGAUGUGAUGACUCGGUGUAUAGUACACGUAAAAGUCACUUAACCAGCCGCCUUCAUUUCCGCAACUGUCAAGAGUAGUUCGUGCUUACACUUAGGUAGUCGUUGCAAACUUAUAGAGCAGUGCGAGAAGCAAUCCCUUGUAGAGUGGACUGGCAGAGCCCGAGGAAAAUAUGUCGCUUUAAUCGACUCAGACCCAGACCCUGCGAGUCGGAUUGUUUGAACUUCUGGGGACGAGUGGUCCGCUCCUCAUCCUCUCCGCCGCCCCCCAACACCUGUCGCCUGCUGCCUCGCGGUGGCGCUGCUUCCUGCACUGAACUGGCUAGCGGGUCCUGCUGUGUUUAAACAAGACCUGGAAUAAUUGAAUGGAACGAUAAAGUACGAUGCAAACGUCCAGGACUGGUGAGGCUCAGAACUAAUGGAGACCACCCGUGGAGAUGACCUUGUUCACCCCAGAGACUGAAGAGAGGCUUCCUGAGCUCUGAGGUUCCAGGCCCUGUUCCUGAAGCCUAGCAGCUACACGGAGGCCCCUUGGCAGCCGCAGGCUGGCU
rnacentral:sRNA from 1 species